rnacentral:lncRNA from 1 species
ACAGUAUUCUGUGUUUGCGAGAUGCGUAGUGGUACACAAGACAUUUGGGGACCUCAGAGAGCCUGGUCGAAACACGUACAGGCCUGGUCUUAGGGGGUGCUUUGUGUAAUGCUCCCAGGCCUGGCUUCUACUGUAAGGAAUUCUUGUGUGGUCCUUUAGUCCUGGAAAUAAAAGAGAAAGGGUCUGUAUGGUUAAAUUGUGUAGCCAGAAUUAACAUCCCUUUUUUU